GGGUGCGAUCAUACCAGCACUAAUGCACCGGAUCCCAUCAGAACUCCGAAGUUAAACGUGCUUGGGCGAGAGUAGUACUAAGAUGGGUGACCUCUUGGGAAGACCUCGUGUUGCACCCC
rfam:Ricinus communis cultivar Hale ctg_1100012288414, whole genome shotgun sequence.